rnacentral:misc_RNA from 1 species
GUUUCCCCAAAUUCCCAACAAGGGGCCUAAUAACACCAACCCAAAGCUCAUUUCUCAAUUGCCAUUACACGAACAAAAAUUGAAAUAGCAAUGGCGAUGGCUCUUCGUAAGAUUUCUUACGGUUCCUCCAUCAACCUUCUUCGUCCUCUCUCCAAUGGCUCUUCCGUGCAAUACAAGUCGUCUUUGCCUAAUCAAGCAGUUCGAGAUAGGGAGGAUCCGCGAGUUACGUGGAUUAAGCAGUUGAAUGCGCCACUUGAAGAAAUUGAUCCAGAGAUUGCCGACAUUAUUGAGCAUGAGAAAGCUAGGCAAUGGAAGGGUCUUGAGCUUAUCCCUUCAGAGAAUUUUACAUCACUGUCAGUGAUGCAAGCAGUUGGAUCAGUAAUGACCAACAAAUACAGUGAAGGGUAUCCU